rnacentral:rRNA from 1 species
UUAAGCGACUAAGCGUACACGGUGGAUGCCCUGGCAGUCAGAGGCGAUGAAGGACGUGCUAAUCUGCGAUAAGCGCCGGUAAGGUGAUAUGAACCGUUAUAACCGGCGAUUUCCGAAUGGGGAAACCCAGUGUGAUUCGUCACACUAUCAUUAACUGAAUCCAUAGGUUAAUGAGGCGAACCGGGGGAACUGAAACAUCUAAGUACCCCGAGGAAAAGAAAUCAACCGAGAUUCCCCCAGUAGCGGCGAGCGAACGGGGAGGAGCCCAGAGCCUGAAUCAGCAUGUGUGUUAGUGGAAGCGUCUGGAAAGGCGCGCGAUACAGGGUGACAGCCCCGUACACAAAAGCGCAUGUGCUGUGAGCUCGAUGAGUAGGGCGGGACACGUGGUAUCCUGUCUGAAUAUGGGGGGACCAUCCUCCAAGGCUAAAUACUCCUGACUGACCGAUAGUGAACCAGUACCGUGAGGGAAAGGCGAAAAGAACCCCGGCGAGGGGAGUGAAAAAGAACCUGAAACCGUGUACGUACAAGCAGUGGGAGCUGAGGGAAAGGCGAAAAGAACCCCGGCGAGGGGAGUGAAAAAGAACCUGAAACCGUGUACGUACAAGCAGUGGGAGCCCCACCACUAAGCCAGUGGUGAACUCCACAUACGCAUCCUUUGCUGAGGAUACGGUUAACGGAGCGCAAGCGACGUUCAACCGCAAAAGAAGCAGAGGGGGCUUAGUGGUGGGGUGACUGCGUACCUUUUGUAUAAUGGGUCAGCGACUUAUAUUCUGUAGCAAGGUUAACCGUAUAGGGGAGCCGGAGGGAAACCGAGUCUUAAUUGGGCGUUAAGUUGCAGGGUAUAGACCCGAAACCCGGUGAUCUAGCCAUGGGCAGGUUGAAGGUUGGGUAACACUAACUGGAGGACCGAACCGACUAAUGUUGAAAAAUUAGCGGAUGACCUGUGGCUGGGGGUGAAAGGCCAAUCAAACCGGGAGAUAGCUGGUUCUCCCCGAAAGCUAUUUAGGUAGCGCCUCGUGAAUUCAUCUCCGGGGGUAGAGCACUGUUUCGGCUAGGGGGCCAUCCCGGCUUACCAACCCGAUGCAAACUGCGAAUACCGGAGAAUGUUAUCACGGGAGACACACGGCGGGUGCUAACGUCCGUCGUGAAGAGGGAAACAACCCAGACCGCCAGCUAAGGUCCCAAAGUCAUGGUUAAGUGGGAAACGAUGUGGGAAGGCCCAGACAGCCAGGAUGUUGGCUUAGAAGCAGCCAUCAUUUAAAGAAAGCGUAAUAGCUCACUGGUCGAGUCGGCCUGCGCGGAAGAUGUAACGGGGCUAAACCAUGCACCGAAGCUGCGGCAGCGAACGUAUCACUUAAAGCGAUUCAGCGGGUUACGAUUGACGGAGCGAAGCGACGUCAAAGCGUAUACAAAGUCGAGUCGGUUUAAGGAUACGUUCGUUGGGUAGGGGAGCGUUCUGUAAGCCUGUGAAGGUGUGUCGUGAGGCAUGCUGGAGGUAUCAGAAGUGCGAAUGCUGUUGGGUAGGGGAGCGUUCUGUAAGCCUGUGAAGGUGGCCUGUGAGGGUUGCUGGAGGUAUCAGAAGUGCGAAUGCUGACAUAAGUAACGAUAAAGCGGGUGAAAAGCCCGCUCGCCGGAAGACCAAGGGUUCCUGUCCAACGUUAAUCGGGGCAGGGUGAGUCGACCCCUAAGGCGAGGCCGAAAGGCGUAGUCGAUGGGAAACGGGUUAAUAUUCCCGUACUUGGUGUUACUGCGAAGGGGGGACGGAGAAGGCUAUGUUGGCCGGGCGACGGUUGUCCCGGUUUAAGCGUGUAGGUGUGUGUUCCAGGUAAAUCCGGUUCACUUUAACACUGAGGCGUGAUGACGAGGCACUACGGUGCUGAAGCAACAAAUGCCCUGCUUCCAGGAAAAGCCUCUAAGCAUCAGGUAACAUCAAAUCGUACCCCAAACCGACACAGGUGGUCAGGUAGAGAAUACCAAGGCGCUUGAGAGAACUCGGGUGAAGGAACUAGGCAAAAUGGUGCCGUAACUUCGGGAGAAGGCACGCUGACAUGUAGGUGAAGUGAUUUACUCAUGGAGCUGAAGUCAGUCGAAGAUACCAGCUGGCUGCAACUGUUUAUUAAAAACACAGCACUGUGCAAACACGAAAGUGGACGUAUACGGUGUGACGCCUGCCCGGUGCCGGAAGGUUAAUUGAUGGGGUCAGCGCAAGCGAAGCUCCUGAUCGAAGCCCCGGUAAACGGCGGCCGUAACUAUAACGGUCCUAAGGUAGCGAAAUUCCUUGUCGGGUAAGUUCCGACCUGCACGAAUGGCGUAAUGAUGGCCAGGCUGUCUCCACCCGAGACUCAGUGAAAUUGAACUCGCUGUGAAGAUGCAGUGUACCCGCGGCAAGACGGAAAGACCCCGUGAACCUUUACUAUAGCUUGACACUGAACAUUGAGCCUUGAUGUGUAGGAUAGGUGGGAGGCUUUGAAGUGUGGACGCCAGUCUGCAUGGAGCCGACCUUGAAAUACCACCCUUUAAUGUUUGAUGUUCUAACGUGGACCCGUAAUCCGGGUUGCGGACAGUGUCUGGUGGGUAGUUUGACUGGGGCGGUCUCCUCCUAAAGAGUAACGGAGGAGCACGAAGGUUGGCUAAUCCUGGUCGGACAUCAGGAGGUUAGUGCAAUGGCAUAAGCCAGCUUGACUGCGAGCGUGACGGCGCGAGCAGGUGCGAAAGCAGGUCAUAGUGAUCCGGUGGUUCUGAAUGGAAGGGCCAUCGCUCAACGGAUAAAAGGUACUCCGGGGAUAACAGGCUGAUACCGCCCAAGAGUUCAUAUCGACGGCGGUGUUUGGCACCUCGAUGUCGGCUCAUCACAUCCUGGGGCUGAAGUAGGUCCCAAGGGUAUGGCUGUUCGCCAUUUAAAGUGGUACGCGAGCUGGGUUUAGAACGUCGUGAGACAGUUCGGUCCCUAUCUGCCGUGGGCGCUGGAGAACUGAGGGGGGCUGCUCCUAGUACGAGAGGACCGGAGUGGACGCAUCACUGGUGUUCGGGUUGUCAUGCCAAUGGCACUGCCCGGUAGCUAAAUGCGGAAGAGAUAAGUGCUGAAAGCAUCUAAGCACGAAACUUGCCCCGAGAUGAGUUCUCCCUGAGACUUAAAGUCUCCUGAAGGAACGUUGAAGACGACGACGUUGAUAGGCCGGGUGUGUAAGCGCAGCGAUGCGUUGAGCUAACCGGUACUAAUGAACCGUGAGGCUUAACCUU